rnacentral:rRNA from 1 species
AAAAGAGUGCGUAAUAGCUCACUGGUCGAGUGAUUCUGCGCCGAAAAUUUCCGGGGCUAAAACUUACUACCGAAGCUACGGCAUCAUUAUGAUGGGUAGGGGAGCUUUCUAUGCGGCUUGAAGCAUGACCGUAAGGACAUGUGGACUGCAUAGAAGUGAGAAUGUUGGCAUGAGUAGCGAGAUGUGGGUGAGAAUCCCACAGGCCGUAAACCCAAGGUUUCCAGGGGAAGGUUCGUCCGCCCUGGGUUAGUCAGGACCUAAGCCGAGGCCGAAAGGCGUAGGUGAUGGACAACAGGUUGAUAUUCCUGUACCACCAAUAACCGUUUGAGAAAUGGGAUGACACAGUAGGAUAAGCUAACCGCACUGUUGGUUAUGUGCGGGCAAGUAUUGAGGCAGUUCCGAUAGGCAAAUCCGUCGGAAUAAUGCUGGGGUACGAUGCGGAGCGAAAUUAAGUAGCGAAGUAGCUGAUUUCACACUGUCGAGAAAAGUCUCUAUCGAUGUUAAAGGUGCCUGUACCGCAAACCGACACAGGUGGGUGAGGAGAGUAUCCUAAGGCCAGCGAGAGAACUGUUGUUAAGGAACUCGGCAAAAUGACCCCGUAACUUAGGGAGAAGGGGUGCCUUCGAAAGAAGGCCGCAGAGAAUAGGCCCAAGCGACUGUUUACCAAAAACAUAGGUUUCUGCUAAGUCGCAAGACGAUGUAUAGGAGCUGACGCCUGCCCGGUGCUGGAAGGUUAAGGGGAUCUGUUAGAGCAAUCGAAGCAGUGAACUUAAGCCCCAGUAAACGGCGGCCGUAACAAUAACGGUCCUAAGGUAGCGAAAUUCCUUGUCGGGUAAGUUCCGACCCGCACGAAAGGCGUAACGAUUUGGGCACUGUCUCAACAACAGACUCGGUGAAAUUGUAAUACCGGUGAAGAUGCCGGUUACCUGCGACAGGACGGAAAGACCCCAUGGAGCUUUACUGUAGCUUGACAUUGAGUCUCGGUGCUACAUGUACAGGAUAGGUGGGAGACUAUGAAGCAUGGACGUCAGUCUGUGUGGAGUCAUCCUUGGGAUACCACCCUUGUAGUACUGGGAUUCUAACCAGAGGCCUUGAAUCUGGUCUUGGGACACUGUCAGGUGGACAGUUUGACUGGGGCGGUCGCCUCCCAAAAAGUAACGGAGGCGCUCAAAGGUUCUCUCAGUACGGUCGGAAAUCGUACGAAGAGUGUAAAGGCAAAAAAU